UACGUAGGGGGCAAGCGUUGUCCGGAAUUAUUGGGCGUAAAGAGCUCGUAGGCGGUGUGUCGCGUCGGCCGUGAAAACUCGGGCUCGACCCCGAGCCUGCAUACGAUACGGGCAGACUUGAGUUCGGCAGGGGAGUAACUGGAAUUCCUGGUGGAGCGGGUGGAAAUGCGCAGAUAUCAGAGGAACACCGGUGGCGAAGGCGGUCGCG
rnacentral:rRNA from 1 species